rnacentral:lncRNA from 1 species
UUUUUUUUGCUUUUUAGGGUUGCACCUAUGGCGUAUGGAGGUUCCCAGGCUAGGGGAUGAAUCGGAGCUACAGCUGUCGGCAUACACCACAGCCACAGCAAUGCAGGAUCCCAGCCGACUCUGCGACCUACACCACAGCUCACAGCAACACCGGAUCCUUAACCCACUGAGCGAGGCCAGGGAUCGAACCCGCAACCUCAUGGUUCCUAGUCGGGUUCGUUUCUGCUGUGCCAUGCUGGGAAUUCCAAGAAGAUCCUAAAAUUAAAGGCAGUAUCACAGAUACCUGACCCUUCCUUCCAUUCUCCUUGCCCGCAUUUUCUCUAGUUACUGACACUAUUACUAUUUUCCCAACAGCUUACUAUCAACCCACUAUUGUUGUUGGAAUUAACUUUCAGUUUCUAAUGAAGAGUUUCAUUUUACCUCAGGAAAUAACUGGCCUACAGUCCUCCCCCACCCCACCCAACCUCAACAUUUUGCAAGGUUGCGGUCAUGGCAGGACAGGGACAUCCUGUUAUCAACAAGAAGUUAAAACCCACAUCUAUAAUCAUUUUGUCUGAUUUUCUGGGCUUUAGCAGUACUUUGGGUUUUUUAAUUGUAUAUUUUACAUUAUUUUUACAGGCACAUGAGUGGGUGGAAAAGUUAAAGGCAGAAUUGCCGAGAUAAAGUGACUACGAGGUCCCCCAACACACUCUUCAAAAAGGGAAGAAUCCACAGUAACCUAAUUAAGCCCUACUUUUGCUGAUGACAACUAUUCAUCGAACUUUCCUCCUUAAACCUCAAUUAGACAAAUCUUCUCCAAGCUCUGUACUAUCAUGAGGGCUAUCCAGUGGCCUCACAUCACCCUGCAGAGGAUCCAAUGCAAUCUCUCUACGGAGUCUAUAAACUUUUGGUCUUUUAGGACAAAGUAUAUAGAAGGAAAUUACUAUAGAUGUUAAAAUAAUGUUCUUUAAUCCAUUUGGGAAAUACAAUAUUUUUAGAGAUUUAAAACAUCCUGAUCUAAUUCUUUUCUAUCAGGUUCUAUGUUGUAUUUUCCAAACUUUUAAAUUUUGGGGUUUUUGUAUAACUGAUUGCCUGAGUAUGGAAUGGAUUAGAAGGAAGAGAAAUUUUUAUUCUUGGAAAGAAAAUUUUUUUUUUUUUUUUUUUUUUUUUUUUUUUUUGCUUUUUAGGGCUACAACCAUGGGGUAUAUGAAGGUUCCCAGGCUAGGGGUCGAAUGGGAGCUGUAGCCACUGGCCUACACCACAGCCACAGCAACACCAGAUCGGAGCCACAUCUGCGACUCACACCACAGCUCACGGCAACGCCGGAUCCUUAACCCACUGAAUGAGGCCAAGGAUCGAAUCUGCA